rnacentral:tRNA from 1 species
AGAUUAUAUAAUUUAAUAAAAAUAUUGAUUUUGUAAUUCAAAAAUUAACUUAACGUUAUUUAAUCUUC